ACAUAGGCAAGUUUAGAUGUUAAUGUCAUAUUCACAUUCUACUCAUAAAUAUGCUUUUGAUAUUCCACUUGACAUUAUAUAUAAACAACAAUCCAUGCCGAAUCCAUCAUUUCUUCCAGUUGUCGAACUUACCAUGGUUCUCUUCCACAUCAAAGGUAUAUCGUAUCGUGUAGCAUCGGAGAUAAGGCAGCUAGUUUUCCUUGAUGAUUGCGUGUUUUAUAUCGAAAAUAGCAAUAAGCAAUAAUUAAGACUGCUAGCAACUCCAAUAAAAAUAGUGAAGCAUAAAGCCAACUUGUUUCGGAGUUCGUUUUCAGUGGCUACGUUGUCUGCCCUUCGCCAACCCAUGGAAUGUUGGAAAAAAACAUGUAAAUAUAAAGUUGAUGUUUAUUUAGAAAUGUUUAGGGAAAACUGUAUUCACUAGUAUAUAUAUUAAUUUAUAAAUUUCCAUGGAAAACUCACAUUGAUUGUGUGGAGGGAGGCAAAUCAUUAAUCGUAUUGUAAUGCCUUAAUAGAAAACCAUGUAACACAUACAUGUGUGUUUCGUUGUAUUGAAAUGAGCUAAAGUGCUAUUGCAUUUCUUAAAAACGUUUCAUUAGAAUCCAUAAUUUUGAUUGGCAAUUGUGAGGCACUCAAAUAUCAAAUUGUCACGCCUUUCCGUAUGAAACACAACAGCAUCCACUGCACGUACUACUUGUG
rnacentral:lncRNA from 1 species